rnacentral:rRNA from 1 species
GACGAAGGUGGCGAGCGUUGUUCGGAAUCACUGGGCAUAAAGCGCACGUAGGUGGCGCCGUAAGUCGGAUGUGAAAUCCCUCGGCCCAACCGAGGAACUGCGUCCGAUACUGCGGUGCUUGAGGGUCAAAGGGGUGCAUGGAAUUCCCGGUGGAGCGGUGAAAUGCGUUGAUAUCGGGAGGAACGCCGGCGGCGAAAGCGGUGCACUGGUUGACUUCUGACACUCAUGUGCGAAAGCCAGGGGAGCAAACGGG